CCUACGUGUGGCAGCAGUGGGGAAUAUUGCGCAAUGGGCGCAACCCUGACGCAGCAACGCCGCGUGAUUGAAGACGGCCUUCCGGUUGUAAAAAUCUUUAAUCGGGGAAGUAUUUUGACGGUACCCGAAGAAUAAGCUCCGGCUAAAUACGUGCCAGCAGCCGCGGUAAUACGUAGGGAGCACGCGUUAUCCGGAUUUACUGGGUGUAAAGGGCGUGUAGGCGGGCAUGCAAGCCAGAAGUGAAAUCUGGGGGCUUAACCCCCAAACUGCUUUUGGAACUGCGUGUCUUGAGUGAUGGUGAGGCAGGCGGAAUUCGCAGUGUAGCGGUGAAAUGCGUAGAUAUUGGGAGGAACACCAGUGGCGAAGGCGGCCUGCUGGACAGGAACUGACGCUGAGGCGCGAAAGCGUGGGGAGCAAACAGGAUUAGAUACCCUUGUAGUC
rnacentral:rRNA from 1 species